AUAAAUUCUUCAAGUAAAGUUGCUAAUUCAAGGGUGCUAUGUAACGUGGCGUUGUUGUUUCGGACAAUAGUUCGCUCGUUUGCUCUAACGACCAACUUGGGUCAAGUUAAGGAGUGAAGAAGAAAGAUCUUGGAGUUGCCGAGGGUUGAGGCUUGAUUUGUCUUGCGAUCGGAAGAGGUACUGACGCCCAGUUUGAGGAUCCACCUGCCUAGGCCAUCUAUUCUGCUUUCUAGGAGUGCUCCUUCUUCCGGAACUCAUAUAUUUUGGUAUACAUUUUCUUCUGAUGCAUAUGUAUAUUAUUAUUCAGG